GUGCCAUCACUCAGUUGGCCACUCUGGGAACCCGCCUCGGAUACCGGGAAGAAAGGUGGGAUGCCGUCAAGUCCUCAUGGCCUUUAUGUCCCAGGGCUACACACGUGUUCCAAUGGUCGGGUCCAACCCGUCGCAAAACCCGCCGAGGGGAAGCUUAUUCGGGAAAAAGCCGACCCUCAGUUCGGGAUUGGAGUCUGCAACUCGACUCCCAUGAAGCUGGAAUCGCUAGUAAUCGCGGAUCAGAACGCCGCGGUGAAUACGUUCCCGGGCCUUGUACACACCGCCCGUCACAUCACGAAAGUGGGCUGUACUAGAAGCCGGUGGGCUAACCGCAAGGAAGCAGCCGUCCAAGGUAUAACUCAUGAUUGGGGUGAAGUCGUAACAA
rnacentral:rRNA from 1 species